rnacentral:rRNA from 1 species
GGGAUCAGCCCAGCGCGUAGCCUGCAGGCUCGCCCCACUCGAUGGGUCACGAGCCUGCGAGGGAUGCCGCGUAUGGGAGGGAUCAAGAGGGUGCUAGACUCGGCCUGAAGUAUUUAUUGAAUGUUGUCACACUGCCCAUAGAGGGUGUAAGGCCCGUAAGGCCGGCGUCUAGAUUACCUCGCUGGUUCCUCUCGAGAGUCGGGUUGCUUGAAAGUGCAGCCCUAAGUAGGUGGUAAACUCCAUCUAAGGCUAAAUAUUCCCACGAGACCGAUAGCGAACAAGUACCGCGAGGGAAAGUUGAAAAGAACUUUGAAAAGAGAGUUCAAUAGAGCGUGAAACUACCACGAGGCUAAAGCGAGUGAGCGUACGUAUCCGAACGGUUUGAUUCAGUCCGCCCGAGCACGAUGAGCAGUGGGGGGUCGUAAUACGUCAUUAACGGAUCUCCCGAAAGGAUCCGAGCUUUACGCUCGGCCUCUAGGGUGACCGGCGUAUCUCCCGCUUUGUUCUGUAGGGGGACGCAUUUCCGGCCGAAGUAGGGCGUCGCGGCCGUUUCGGGGGUGUCUAAGACACGGGGGUCCUGGAAUCCGCAUCUUCUCGUCCCGGCGCGCUCUACCGCCCCUUCACGGAGGAGCGGCAUCACSCCGGGGUCGCGAGUCGAGCGGGGCCGCCUCGUUGAUCUGACGGCCUCCGAGACGGUGAAAUCACGUUUCAAGCGGGCCUGCGACGGGGGCUCGUCCGCUCCCUCGUCUCUUAUUACAGAGAAGGGGUGAAGGCGACCUCGCAUAAACG